UUCCAUGAGCAGUGGUUAUCAAAACAAGGUACCUAGGAAAGGUGGCGCAAGCUACCGCCCAUUAUCAAGGGUAUAACAGUACAGUCCAGGUCCACAGAGCCGUUAGCCAGGUUACACGGCUCUGCCAGGUUCGCCAGGUUAGCAUCUGUCCAUCCAUCGAUCUUUUCUCAAAGUGUCUCGGGUGGGGCUGGGAAAUGCUUGAGGAUGUGAAAAUGCUCCAAUUUCUCCGAGUUUACCAAAGUUUCAAGGUUUCUUCACGAUCAGUGUGUUCAAGAAAAGCCCACGCUGGGGCAAGCCAGUGACCCUGUCCGGUUGCAACUACGGUUUCUCAACUUCUACCUGGAACAACAAUGGCACACACCUGAGGGAAAAGAACUUUCAAAGGAGGAAGUACUUGCUUGUCAGAAAGUAAUUGGACGUUGCCUAUCACAGAGGCUGAUGGACAUUGCCCGUGACCACCUCGCUCGGAAUGCCUGGCUACAGAUAUGAUGGCGAAUAAUAGGAAACACAAGUGUCGCUCUUGUAGCGUCCCAACUCCUGGCUGCUGAAUCUUCCAUGGACUAUCAAGCUGGAGACGAGCUACAGCACAACAGGGGCCUACCGCACCCGCCUUCUGCUGCUCUACCACCACCAGGAUCGUGGCAUGGAACAGCAUGACACUUCUAUGACGUUGUCAGGCAAAGAUAGAGGGAACUAAAAUAAAGUGACGAUGAGCAUA